AGAUUGAACGCUGGCGGCGUGCUUAACACAUGCAAGUCGAGCGGUAACGCGGGAGCAAUCCUGGCGACGAGCGGCGAACGGGUGAGUAAUGCUUGGGAAUCUGCCCAUUAGUGGGGAACAACCAGCCGAAAGGUUGGCUAAUACCGCAUACGCCCUACGGGGGAAAGCGGGGGAUCGAAAGACCUCGCGCUAAUGGAUGAGCCCAAGUCGGAUUAGCUUGUUGGUAGGGUAACGGCCUACCAAGGCGACAAUCCGUAGCUGGUCUGAGAGGACGACCAGCCACACUGGGACUGAGACACGGCCCAGACUCCUACGGGAGGCAGCAGUGGGGAAUAUUGGACAAUGGGGGGCAACCCUGAUCCAGCGACGCCGCGUGUGUGAAGAAGGCCUGCGGGUUGUAAAGCACUUUUAGUGGGGAUGAAAAGCUCAGGGUUAACACCUCUGGGUCUUGACCUAACCACAGAAAAGCACCGGCUAACUCUGUGCCAGCAGCCGCGGU
rnacentral:rRNA from 1 species